UGCUGGGGGAUUAGUGGCGAACGGGUGAGUAACACGUGAGUAACCUGCCCUUGACUCUGGGAUAAGCCUGGGAAACUGGGUCUAAUACCGGAUAUGACUCCUCAUCGCAUGGUGGGGGGUGGAAAGCUUUUGUGGUUUUGGAUGGACUCGCGGCCUAUCAGCUUGUUGGUGGGGUAAUGGCCUACCAAGGCGACGACGGGUAGCCGGCCUGAGAGGGUGACCGGCCACACUGGGACUGAGACACGGCCCAGACUCCUACGGGAGGCAGCAGUGGGGAAUAUUGCACAAUGGGCGAAAGCCUGAUGCAGCGACGCCGCGUGAGGGAUGACGGCCUUCGGGUUGUAAACCUCUUUCAGUAGGGAAGAAGCGAAAGUGACGGUACCUGCAGAAGAAGCGCCGGCUAACUACGUGCCAGCAGCCGCGGUAAUACGUAGGGCGCAAGCGUUAUCCGGAAUUAUUGGGCGUAAAGAGCUCGUAGGCGGUUUGUCGCGUCUGCUGUGAAAGACCGGGGCUCAACUCCGGUUCUGCAGUGGGUACGGGCAGACUAGAGUGCAGUAGGGGAGACUGGAAUUCCUGGUGUAGCGGUGAAAUGCGCAGAUAUCAGGAGGAACACCGAUGGCGAAGGCAGGUCUCUGGGCUGUAACUGACGCUGAGGAGCGAAAGCAUGGGGAGCGAACAGGAUUAGAUACCCUGGUAGUCCAUGCCGUAAACGUUGGGCACUAGGUGUGGGGGACAUUCCACGUUUUCCGCGCCGUAGCUAACGCAUUAAGUGCCCCGCCUGGGGAGUACGGCCGCAAGGCUAAAACUCAAAGGAAUUGACGGGGGCCCGCACAAGCGGCGGAGCAUGCGGAUUAAUUCGAUGCAACGCGAAGAACCUUACCAAGGCUUGACAUGAACCGGAAAGACCUGGAAACAGGUGCCCCGCUUGCGGUCGGUUUACAGGUGGUGCAUGGUUGUCGUCAGCUCGUGUCGUGAGAUGUUGGGUUAAGUCCCGCAACGAGCGCAACCCUCGUUCUAUGUUGCCAGCGCGUUAUGGCGGGGACUCAUAGGAGACUGCCGGGGUCAACUCGGAGGAAGGUGGGGACGACGUCAAAUCAUCAUGCCCCUUAUGUCUUGGGCUUCACGCAUGCUACAAUGGCCGGUACAAAGGGUUGCGAUACUGUGAGGUGGAGCUAAUCCCAAAAAGCCGGUCUCAGUUCGGAUUGGGGUCUGCAACUCGACCCCAUGAAGUCGGAGUCGCUAGUAAUCGCAGAUCAGCAACGCUGCGGUGAAUACGUUCCCGGGCCUUGUACACACCGCCCGUCAAGUCACGAAAGUUGGUAACACCCGAAGC
rnacentral:rRNA from 1 species